ACGAAAAAACAUAAACAAACACAGAAGCUACGUCAGCUUGGUACGAACUUUGACAGUUCAAAGUUUUAGCUGCGUUGCUAGCGCGUUGCUAGAUUUGGUAACUCGCUCCCAACCGGGGCGUUACGUUUUAGUUUAGCAACGCAUUUGGCUACGACCGGUGUGGGAGCAAAGUUACUAACACGCGUUACAAAACCUUAAAACCUGCCUAAUACUCACGCUGGUAAGGUUGCUCUUACAUCGGUCACCCUAGUACAACUCUGACUUCAAAACCCAAUGACAAUUCUCGCCGGACUUGCGGGCAACUAUAAAUGGUAACCUACAAAUUUGGGCCCUUUUGCAGAGCAGUUGAGAAGAAGAGCAGUUCUCCUUUGAUGUCAACUGCACCGCAGCAAGCUUUGCUCCGGUCGCCAUCCCGCCGGGGGACCUUUCGCGGCAGCUCGCCCGUAGCCAACACAAGCUGUCAACUUCGGCACCAGAACAAAAGGG